GGAGAGAGCUGGAGCAAAAGCAGCAUCUGCUCUGUGUAUCCUCUCUGGGAAGAUGAAGCUCCUCCUCCUCCUCCUCCUCUUGCUGACUUUUCUUCUGUCUCAUGAGACUGGAGCUGAUGAGAUUAUUGGGGGGAAAGAAUCAAGGCCCCAUUCCCAUCCUUACAUGGCUUUUCUGGAUAUCAUACGUGGUAAUACAUGGGACUACUGUGGUGGUUUCCUGAUUCACAGGGAGUUUGUGAUGACAGCAGCCCAUUGUGCAGGAGACUUCAUCAUAGUCAAACUUGGAGCACAUAACAUCAGAUACCCAGAAGAGACUUGGCAGACCAUUAAUGUCAGGCGUCAAAUUCCUCACCCAGAAUAUAAUGGCACAAGGUUUCUCAAUGACAUCAUGUUACUACAGCUGGAACAUGAAGCCAUACUGACAACAGCAGUAUGGCCCGUCCCCCUGGGCUCCAGAUUUGAUUGGAUCUCACCUGGGCAAGAAUGUCUAGCAGUUGGCUGGGGAAGGACAGGACAACUGCCCCCGGGAUCAGACACUUUACAGGAGGUGGAACUGACACUAAGGAAUUCCAGUGACUGCAUAGAUUUUGGCUCUUUUGAUGAGAGAUCCCAGUGGUGUGUAGGGAAUCCCAACUCAAGGAAAUCAGUAUUUAAAGGAGAUUCUGGAGGACCCCUCCUUUGUUUCGGUGUGGCCCAAGGAAUUGCCUCCUAUGCACACAAAGAUGCAACACCACCUUCAGGCUUCACAAAAAUUGCUCAUUACCGCUCCUGGAUCGACUCCUGGAUCUACCAAAUCCUAAAAGCAAAUUAGCCCCUGUGGCCCUGGCUCAGCAAAAAGGAAUCUCCCUCCUAGGGCCCAGCCUCCUCUCUGGGACUGUCCUCACACUAGGACUGUCCCCCUCCCUGCCCAGCUUCAUCCCAGAGUCCAAGAUGUGUGGGGGAGGGGAGGAAGGUAAAGGGUAUGAAGAGUUACUCUGGACAUUGAACUGAGGGUCGACUGUGACUGCAAUAAACCGAAGCAUCCAA